GGUGAGGUGGCCGAGCGGCUGAAGGCGCUCCCCUGCUAAGGGAGUAUAUGGUUAAAAGCCGUAUCGAGGGUUCGAAUCCCUCCCUCACCGCCA
rnacentral:tRNA from 1 species